CAUUCAGUGCAGAUGCCCAGUGGUGUGUGGCUUCUGGAAGACUUUCACAGUCAUAAUUAGCUGCCCUGGAUAUCAAACAUAGCUACCCAAGCAACUGCUCUGCUGUAUGUCCAAACCACCCACAGCAAGAGCCUCUGCACCAGGAUCAAGUCUGCAGCACAAAGCAGUGCACAAACAAAGGAAGGAGAACUACUAGCAAGGAUGGCAGUAAGUACAGCAGACACCAUACUGGACAAAUCAUCAGGAAUCCACUGGUUCCCACCAGUUAGACCCUGGCAGCUCAGCAAACCAAAAAAGUCUGGAAAACUGAAGAGAGACAGAGCCUGCAGUGAAACAAAUGGAUGCCUCAAAAGCUCCACAAAUACAGGACUCAAAGUGUAACAGCAAUUUUCCUCCUAUUGUGCAUUGUCUAAGAAUUCCCUUCAAAGUGAAAAUUUUAUGGAAGAUGAAAAGAGAAACAUCAGAAGGCUUAAGUACAAAUUUCCUGUCCUCUCUCUUACCUACACUUACUUAUUUGUAGACUAUGGCUAAAAAACAAGUGCUGUUGCAA